CAGUAGCCGCGGUAAAACGAGGGGUGCAAGCGUUAUUCGGAUUGAUUGGGUGUAAAGGGUGUGCAGACGGCUUAUUAAGUCACUUGUUAAAUUCUUCGGCCUAACUGAAGGUCUGCAAGUGAUACUGAUGAGCUAGAGGGUGGAAGAGAGAAGUGGAAUUCUCGGAGUAGCAGUAAAAUGCGUAGAUCUCGAGAGGAACACCAAUGGCGAAGGCAGCUUCUUGGUCCAUUCCUGACGUUCAUACACGAAAGCGUUGGGAGCAAACAGGAUUAGAUACCCGAGUAGUCCCUGUCUCUUAUAU
rnacentral:rRNA from 1 species